UACGUAGGGGGCAAGCGUUGUCCGGAUUUAUUGGGCGUAAAGAGCGUGUAGGCGGCCAGACAGGUCCGUUGUGAAAACUCGAGGCUCAACCUCGAGAUGUCGAUGGAAACCGUCUGGCUAGAGUCCGGAAGAGGAGUGUGGAAUUCCUGGUGUAGCGGUGGAAUGCGCAGAUAUCAGGAGGAACACCGGUGGCGAAGGCGGGUCUCUGGGCAGUAACUGACGCUGAGGAGCGAAAGCGUGGGGAGCGAACAGG
rnacentral:rRNA from 1 species